rnacentral:misc_RNA from 1 species
UGGUUCUGGCAUCGAUGAAGAACGCAGCGAAAUGCGAUAGGUAAUGUGAAUUGCAGAACUCAGUGAAUCAUCGAAUUUUUGAACGCACAUUGCGCCCACCAGUAUUCUGGUGGGCAUGCCUGUUCGAGCGUCAUUUCAACCCCUUAUGCCCUUGUUGCAUAGCGUUGGGGGAUUAUUCUAUUUUUUAUAUAGAAUAACCCCUGAAAGUGAGUGGCGGAGUUGUUUUAUUCUCUGGAUGCAGUAGUUAUAUAUUUUCAUCUCACCAAUAGAAUAAGCCAACAUUUAGCCAGAAAAACGCAUUAUGUUAUAUUGGUUGACCUCGGAUCAGGUAGGAAUACCCGCUGA